rnacentral:rRNA from 1 species
UGGAUCCAGACUUUGAUUCUGGCUCAGGACGAACGCUGGCGGCGCGCCUAACACAUGCAAGUCGAACGAGAGAGGAAGAGCUUGCUCUUCUGAUCGAGUGGCGAACGGGUGAGUAACGCGUGAGGAACCUGCCUCAAAGAGGGGGACAACAGUUGGAAACGACUGCUAAUACCGCAUAAGCCCACGGCUCGGCAUCGAGCAGAGGGAAAAGGAGCAAUCCGCUUUGAGAUGGCCUCGCGUCCGAUUAGCUAGUUGGUGAGGUAACGGCCCACCAAGGCAACGAUCGGUAGCCGGACUGAGAGGUUGAACGGCCACAUUGGGACUGAGACACGGCCCAGACUCCUACGGGAGGCAGCAGUGGGGAAUAUUGCACAAUGGGGGAAACCCUGAUGCAGCGACGCCGCGUGGAGGAAGAAGGUCUUCGGAUUGUAAACUCCUGUUGUUGAGGAAGAUAAUGACGGUACUCAACAAGGAAGUGACGGCUAACUACGUGCCAGCAGCCGCGGUAAAACGUAGGUCACAAGCGUUGUCCGGAAUUACUGGGUGUAAAGGGAGCGCAGGCGGGCGAUCAAGUUGGAAGUGAAAUCCAUGGGCUCAACCCAUGAACUGCUUUCAAAACUGAUUGUCUUGAGUAGUGCAGAGGUAGGCGGAAUUCCCGGUGUAGCGGUGGAAUGCGUAGAUAUCGGGAGGAACACCAGUGGCGAAGGCGGCCUACUGGGCACCAACUGACGCUGAGGCUCGAAAGUGUGGGUAGCAAACAGGAUUAGAUACCCUGGUAGUCCACACCGUAAACGAUGAUUACUAGGUGUUGGAGGAUUGACCCCUUCAGUGCCGCAGUUAACACAAUAAGUAAUCCACCUGGGGAGUACGACCGCAAGGUUGCAACUCAAAUGAAUUGACGGA